rnacentral:rRNA from 1 species
CUAAUCUGCGAUAAGCGUCGGUAAGGUGAUAUGAACCGUUAUAACCGGCGAUUUCCGAAUGGGGAAACCCAGUGUGAUUCGUCACACUAUCAUUAACUGAAUUCAUAGGUUAAUGAGGCGAACCGGGGGAACUGAAACAUCUAAGUACCCCGAGGAAAAGAAAUCAACCGAGAUUCCCCCAGUAGCGGCGAGCGAACGGGGAGGAGCCCAGAGCCUGAAUCAGUGUGUGUGUUAGUGGAAGCGUCUGGAAAGGCGCGCGAUACAGGGUGACAGCCCCGUACACAAAAAUGCACAUGCUGUGAGCUCGAUGAGUAGGGCGGGACACGUGGUAUCCUGUCUGAAUAUGGGGGGACCAUCCUCCAAGGCUAAAUACUCCUGACUGACCGAUAGUGAACCAGUACCGUGAGGGAAAGGCGAAAAGAACCCCGGCGAGGGGAGUGAAAAAGAACCUGAAACCGUGUACGUACAAGCAGUGGGAGCCUCUUUAUGGGGUGACUGCGUACCUUUUGUAUAAUGGGUCAGCGACUUAUAUUCUGUAGCAAGGUUAACCGAAUAGGGGAGCCGAAGGGAAACCGAGUCUUAACUGGGCGUUAAGUUGCAGGGUAUAGACCCGAAACCCGGUGAUCUAGCCAUGGGCAGGUUGAAGGUUGGGUAACACUAACUGGAGGACCGAACCGACUAAUGUUGAAAAAUUAGCGGAUGACUUGUGGCUGGGGGUGAAAGGCCAAUCAAACCGGGAGAUAGCUGGUUCUCCCCGAAAGCUAUUUAGGUAGCGCCUCGUGAAUUCAUCUCCGGGGGUAGAGCACUGUUUCGGCAAGGGGGUCAUCCCGACUUACCAACCCGAUGCAAACUGCGAAUACCGGAGAAUGUUAUCACGGGAGACACACGGCGGGUGCUAACGUCCGUCGUGAAGAGGGAAACAACCCAGACCGCCAGCUAAGGUCCCAAAGUCAUGGUUAAGUGGGAAACGAUGUGGGAAGGCCCAGACAGCCAGGAUGUUGGCUUAGAAGCAGCCAUCAUUUAAAGAAAGCGUAAUAGCUCACUGGUCGAGUCGGCCUGCGCGGAAGAUGUAACGGGGCUAAACCAUG